rnacentral:miRNA from 1 species
GCUGACACAUUCCAGCCAAUCAGCAGCAGACCCUCCCUCCCAGACCUUACCCCCUCCUGGACAGCAUCCAUUUUGAAGCUGCAUUCUUAGUGAGCUGUUCAGGAGGUGGGAGAGUCUGGGAGGGAGGGUCUGCUGCUGAUUGGCUGGAAUGUGUCUG